AUUGAACGCUAGCGGGAUGCUUUACACAUGCAAGUCGAACGGAGUGGCGGACGGGUGAGUAAUGUAUCGGAACGUGCCCAGUAGAGGGGGAUAACUACUCGAAACAGUGGCUAAUACCGCAUACUAUUGGAGCGGCCCAUAUCGGAUUAGCUAGUUGGUGGGGUAACGGCUCACCAAGGCGACGAUCCGUAGCUGGUUUGAGAGGACGACCAGCCACACUGGGACUGAGACACGGCCCAGACUCCUACGGGAGGCAGCAGUGGGGAAUAUUGGACAAUGGGGGAAACCCUGAUCCAGCCAUCCCGCGUGUAUGAUGAAGGCCUUCGGGUUGUAAAGUACUUUUGGCAGAGAAGCGGUAUCUGCAGAAGAAGCACCGGCUAACUACGUGCCAGCAGCCGCGGUAAUAC
rnacentral:rRNA from 1 species